GCAAACACCUCCGUGUUAUCUGGACAGGGUGGAGUGGCAACCCCAAAGGACUGCCAGGACCGCUAAAAGGAGGCGUCAUUCUCGAAUGCCUGACUAGACGUUUUAACUUUACGUACGAGAUGGUCCGAGUUACGGAGAGCAGCGUGGUGCCAUCGACAAAUGGAAAAGGACUUUUCAACUACUUGCGGAAUCAACAAUGUGAUUUGCUGCUUCAAGACGUGGUGUCAUCGAUUGCAUACGGGAACCGACAGGUUGUUGACAUCACAGUGCCAUGGGUUUACACCACAGGUGCUAUACUUACUCAUAUUCCGGAUGACUCACUUAAUAUCCAAGCUGUCAUCAAACCCUUUCAAUGGCCGGUACAACAAUCGGUAAAAUUGGGCUUAUCUUAAUUGGUAAUACCAAUACCUUUUGUCAUCAAAGGUAUGGU